rnacentral:rRNA from 1 species
AUUGAACGCUGGCGGAAUGCUUUACACAUGCAAGUCGAACGGCAGCACGGACUUCGGUCUGGUGGCGAGUGGCGAACGGGUGAGUAAUUUAUCGGAACGUGCCCAGUCGUGGGGGAUAACGUAGCGAAAGUUACGCUAAUACCGCAUACGAUCUAAGGAUGAAAGCGGGGGAUCGCAAGACCUCGCGCGAUUGGAGCGGCCGAUAUCAGAUUAGGUAGUUGGUGGGGUAAAGGCUCACCAAGCCAACGAUCUGUAGCUGGUCUGAGAGGACGACCAGCCACACUGGAACUGAGACACGGUCCAGACUCCUACGGGAGGCAGCAGUGGGGAAUUUUGGACAAUGGACGCAAGUCUGAUCCAGCCAUUCCGCGUGCAGGAUGAAGGCCCUCGGGUUGUAAACUGCUUUUGUACGGAACGAAAAGGUCUCUCUUACUACGGGGGGCUCAUGACGGUACCGUAAGAAUAAGCACCGGCUAACUACGUGCCAGCAGCCGCCGUAA